GAGUUUUUAUGAAUCGGCCACGUGGCGUCCUGGCUUUCUUUCGGAAAUGGCUGCUCCCUGCAAAGGUAGGGAAAGGCAGCUACCGAUCUGGCCUCCCAGCAGGGCAAGAAACAGGAAAAGAUGGAGAAGAGCAUUCUUAAUACCCACUCCCCUGAAAAAGUCAGGAGCCAUGUUUAUUGAGAAAUCCUACCAAGGAAGAUCCGAGGCAUUCUUGGUGGAAGAUGCAACGCCGCGAUCAGAGAUCCGCUCUGAAGCCACAUGGAGGUUGGAGAAAGGCUGAGCGCCAGAUCCCCAACACCCUAGGACGGCAGAUUUCCAAAAGAUCCCAGAGCAAUGAUUCUUGGUGAUCCAAUCUGUGGAAGCUAAAAGCUACCUUGAUCCUUAAAAGCUCUUUUUAGGGAUGUAGGAGACGAGACUCCAGGAAGAACAGGGUUUGGACAAGAUUGAGGUGUAACCAAGAAAAAUGAAGACUGGCAAACAAAAUGGAAAGGCACCCAGGACUUCAAAAGACUUCAGAAACGUAGUCUGCAGUGUAUUAAUUGGAUGUAUUUAUUUGCGGGCUCCUAUGUGUACUUUUCCAGUUAUUCAAAGCUGUUACCAAUAAUUACAUUUUUUAAAAACAAAUGUGAUAGUCGUUUUUAAAAAAAUCAGUAAGUCUCAGAGCUGGCAUCCUACAGCACUUAAAUUUGGCACCUACUAAUAAUGGUUGAAUAUAAUUCGAGAAUUGAAAUUUCUUUGCUGCGUACCCCCGAUUCACAGUUUAAAUGAAGGUCCGAUUUAAUCUAAUUAAAUUUAAAUUCCUAAAUUGACGC